CUCCGGGGCCCCUUCUCCCAACCCUUGUACCAGAGUCCAUCAGAGACCCGGUACGGGCUGUGGGGGACGGGGAGUCGGGG
rnacentral:pre_miRNA from 1 species